AUGCACUUACGCCGAGGCCAGAUGGCCGCUGUCGGAGCCCCAAGCAUGCUCAUGCCACUGCUUCGUACUGCAAUGCUCAUCUGCAGCUUGAUGAGCCUUUGCCCCAGUGUAUGCUCCUUAGCCACACCCGCACACCAUAAUGCAUCAGAAUCCGACAGGCAUGCCCUGCUAUGUGUUAGGUCACACUUCUCCGACCCUGAUGGAGCACUACACUCAUGGAGGAGCGAAUCCGUCGCAUUCUGCAAUUGGCGUGGGGUGUCAUGCAGUACACGCCACGCAGGUCGUGUUGUUGCCCUUCACCUUGAAUCACUGAACAUUACUGGACAAAUAUCUCCUUGCAUUGCAGGACUUCGUUUCCUCCGUGGAAUUCACAUAGCUGAUAACCAUAUCAGUGGCCACAUACCUCCUGAGAUUGGUCGCCUAACCCGACUCAGAUACCUCAACCUUAGCAGGAAUUCUAUCACCGGGGUUAUUCCGGAUACCAUAUGUUCCAGCCCCCACCUGGCGGUCAUCGACCUGAGCAUAAAUUCCAUCACAGGGGUGAUUCCGGAUAGCAUAUCCUCUUGUUCCAGCCUCGAGGUCAUCCGCCUGCGGAAUAACUACAUUGAAGGUGAAAUCCCUCCAGCUCUUGCACAUUGCUCGUCUCUUCAGGAAAUUGUUCUGAGCAAUAGCAAACUCAACGGAACCAUCCCUCCAGGGAUCGGUUUGCUUCACAACCUUAAAUUUCUGUUUCUCCCUAGCAACAAACUUGAUGGCAGCAUUCCUUCGUCUUUGGGGAGUAGCCCAUCACUGUCCAUACUUGUCCUCCGGAAUAAUAGCCUAUCUGGUGAAAUGCCACCAUCGUUAGCAAAUUCUUCUUCACUCUACUACCUUGACCUCAUGAGAAACAACCUUAAUGGAGAGAUCCCUUCCACGCUUUUUGAUAGCCCAUCUCUUGUUACCUUAGAUCUCUCGUAUAAUGAAUUCUCAGGUCCAAUACCAGCUUUCUCACUGUCAUCCUCCAAGCUAAAAUACCUUAGCCUAACCGAAAACAAGCUUUCAGGAGAAAUUCCACCGACACUGGGAAACUUUUCGUCCCUAUGUUCCUUGUUGCUUGCUCAAAAUAAGCUGCACGGAAGCAUUCCAGAAAGUUUAACCAGAAUUCAAAGCCUAGAAACACUAGAUUUAGCUUAUAAUUACUUGUCUGGUGCAGUUCCACCAGCUAUUUACACAGUCGCAUCUCUCGCUUAUCUUGGCCUUGGUGUCAACCAACUUGCUGGGAGAAUUCCAACCGACAUUGCAUACACUCUUCCAAACAUCGAAACAUUGGUCAUGGAAGGAAACCAUUUUGAUGGUCCACUCCCUGCAUCACUAGUUAAUGCAUCCAACCUUCAAGUGCUAGAGCUCCGUGACAAUUCAUUCACUGGUUUGAUUCCUUCUUUCUGGUCUUUGCCCUACUUGACCCAAUUAGACCUUGGUGCAAACCAGUUCGGAGAGGUAGACUGGAGUUCAUUGUGCUCAGUACCAGCCUCUGCACAGUUAAAAGCAAUGUAUCUAGAUAACAACCAGAUUCAUGGAACAAUACCUAGUACCAUUGGAAAUCUUCCGAGCAGCUUACAGUUGUUGUAUUUUUCAGAGAACAGAUUUACUGGAACCAUACCUUCAGAGAUAGGAAAACUCACCAACCUCACAGUUCUCCAAUUUACGGGAAACUUACUCUCAGGGGGCAUUCCUGACACAAUUGGAAACCUCAGGAACUUGUUUCUCCUCGGUUUGUCAAGGAAUAAACUUUCUGGAGAGAUCCCAAAAUCAGUUGGUAACUUUGAAAAGCUAGGUGAGCUUUAUAUGCAAGAAAACAACUUGAGCGGGUCCAUACCUUCGAGCUUAGCAGGCUGCAAAAAUUUGGUAAUUCUAAACCUAUCAUGCAAUGGUUUCCAUGGAAGUAUUCCAUCUGGGCUCCUGUCUAUAUCCUCUCUUUCAGCAUGCCUAGAUUUGUCAUAUAAUAAGCUCAAUGGAUCCAUAUCAUCUGAGAUCGGUAGCUUGAUUAAUCUUGACUCCCUUAAUAUUUCCAACAACCAAUUAUCUGGAGAGAUUCCACAUGCAGUUGGUGAGUGUCUUCACUUGGAAUCACUUCGAUUAGAGGUGAAUUUCCUUCAUGGGAGCAUUCCAGAAUCUUUCAUGAGCUUAAGGGGCAUAAAUGAGAUGGAUCUAUCUCAAAACAACUUGUCUGGUGAAAUACCAGACUUUCUUGGGACCUUUAGCUCUCUGCAACUUCUCAAUUUGUCCUUCAACAGCCUUGAGGGGAUAGUUCCUACAGGUGAUGCAUUUAUCAAUUCAAGUAAGGUGUUCAUACAAGGAAACAAGGAUUUAUGUACAAGGUCCGCAAUGCCUCAGCUACCACUUUGCACAUCAACUAGAAACAAAAGAAGGGAAACCUUGCACAUCAUAUGUAUAGUUUUUGCACUUGCUAGCGUUGUUACAGUCCUGGUGUCAGUUGCUGCAACCAUUCUUUUGAAGAAAAGAAAUAAAUCAAAACAACACACUGAUGAAUCACCCAAUGAGUUGAUGAAGUUCUCAUAUGCUGAGCUUGCUAGAGCUACUAACGAUUUUUCGUUGGCAAACCUAGUUGGCUCAGGGAGUUUUGGAAUAGUCUAUAAAGGUAUAUUCGAGUUUCAGAUGCACCCAGUUGCGAUUAAGGUUUUCAAACUAGACAAUAAUGGAGCACCAAAUAACUUUUUAACUGAAUGUGAGGUGUUAAGAAAUACUCGUCACCGAAAUCUCAUGCGGGUCAUUAGUCUAUGCUCAAGCUGCGAUAAAAUGGGAAAUGAGUUCAAAGCUCUGGUCCUUGACUACAUGCCCAAUGGCAACCUAGAGGGGUGGCUCCAUUCAGAAGUACAUGAACAAAGACAAAGGAGGCCACUGAGUCUCGGAUCAAGAAUAAUGAUAGCUAUGGACAUCGCCGCAGCCUUGGACUAUCUCCACAAUUGGUGCACACCUCCUUUGGUUCAUUGUGAUUUGAAGCCAAGCAAUGUCCUUUUGGAUGAUGCUAUGGGUGCUCAUGUUAGUGACUACGGAUUGGCAAAGUUUCUGUGUACCAACCCUUCAGUAAGUGAAAAGGAUUUAACAAGUGCACAUGGGCCAAGAGGAUCAGUUGGUUAUAUUGCACCAGAAUACGGGAUGGGUUGCAAGAUAUCGACUGCAGGUGACGUCUACAGCUAUGGUGUUAUUCUGCUGGAGAUGCUCACUGGGAAGCAUCCAACUGAUGAUAUCUUCAUGGAUGGACUGAACCUUCACGGAUUGGUAGUCUCUGCAUUUCCACAAGAUAUUUGUAACAUUUUAGAGACCAGUAUUAUUCCAUAUUAUGAACUCGAAGAAGCAAAUCACAGAUUAGAUGGUGGGGACCGUCUGGUGGUUGGAAUGCAAAAUUGUAUCAUGCAGUUUGCUAAACUUGGCCUAGAAUGCUCCAUGGACUCACCAAGUGAUCGGCCGGCAAUGCAAGAUGUGUAUGCUGAAAUCACAAUGAUCAAAGAAACAUUUUCAACACUGCACUGCUGA
rnacentral:rRNA from 1 species